AACGAACGCUGGCGGCAGGCCUAACACAUGCAAGUCGAGCGAAGCCUUCGGGCUUAGCGGCGGACGGGUGAGUAACGCGUGGGAACGUGCCCUUUGCUACGGAAUAGCCCCGGGAAACUGGGAGUAAUACCGUAUGUGCCCUUCGGGGGAAAGAUUUAUCGGCAAAGGAUCGGCCCGCGUUGGAUUAGGUAGUUGGGGGGGUAAUGGCCUACCAAGCCGACGAUCCAUAGCUGGUUUGAGAGGAUGAUCAGCCACACUGGGACUGAGACACGGACCAGACUCCUACGGGAGGCAGCAGUGGGGAAUCUUAGACAAUGGGCGGAAGCCUGAUCUAGCCAUGCCGCGUGAUCGAUGAAGGCCUUAGGGUUGUAAAGAUCUUUCAGGUGGGAAGAUAAUGACUGUACCACCAGAAGAAGCCCCGGCUAACUCCGUGCCAGCAGCCGCCGUAACAC
rnacentral:rRNA from 1 species